ACACAUUCUACUCGAACGGAUCCCCCUUUCUACAUUAUUCUCUUUGCAUUUACAUUUUUUUCUGUCACGGGGGCCCAUUUUCCCCGCCCACUCCCCUCAUUUUCGCUUGAAACCAGAAUAGUGUAGCCAAGAAAUAGUUAAUCCGGAGCUGCUUCUAUAUGAUUGGCUGCUAUACACAGCGUUUGAGCCACCUUGAAUGAGAAACAGGGGUAACUAGGCAACUUCAACGGCAGUAAAAAAAGAAAAAAAAGAAGAAAAGAAGAUAUGGUCCAUGAAGAGCCGGAAUUGUAACAUUGUCGAAAAUUGAGAGAAGGUAAAACAGAGCGCGAAAAUGAACGGGAACCUGAUUUGGAUUAAAACGGUUGAAUUGGGCAUUCCAGAAUAGCCGACAUAUGAAAGGACUUCCAGUGCUACUCGAAGGAGGGACAGUGAUGUACAACAUGAGGACAAUCUCUGAAGUAUCCUACCCGAGAGGCAUAGCCCUACUCAACCUGGCCUAAAGAAUAUAACAGUACCACCACAACCCAUGCGUUCCCUUUGGGAGGAAGUAUUCACCAAUCACUAGGUGGGAACUGCACUAAAGA
rnacentral:lncRNA from 1 species